GAGGGUAUAGCUCAGUGGUAGAGUGUGUGCCUAGCAUGCAUGAGGUCCUAGGUUCAAUCCCCAGUACCUCCA
rnacentral:tRNA from 1 species